AGAGUUUGAUCCUGGCUCAGGAUGAACGCUAGCGGCAGGCUUAAUACAUGCAAGUCGAGGGGCAGCAGGGUGUAGCAAUACACUGCUGGCGACCGGCAAACGGGUGCGGAACACGUACACAACCUUCCUUUGAGUGGGGAAUAGCCCGGAGAAAUCCGGAUUAAUACCGCAUAAGAUAGUACCUAGGCAUCUAGGAGUUAUUAAAGAUUAAUCGGGAAAAGAUGGGCAUGCGUCCGAUUAGCUAGUUGGCAGUGUAAUGGACUACCAAGGCCAUGAUCGGUAGGGGUUCUGAGAGGAAGAUCCCCCACACUGGUACUGAGAUACGGACCAGACUCCUACGGGAGGCAGCAGUAGGGAAUAUUGGGCAAUGUCCGAGAGGAUGACCCAGCCAUGCCGCGUGCAGGAAGAGGGCUUUCUGAGUUGUAAACUGCUUUUGUAAGGGAAGAAAAGGGAUUACGUGUAAUCUAAUCGACGGUACCUUAUGAAUAAGCACCGGCUAACUCCGUGCCAGCAGCCGCGGUAAUACGGAGGGUGCAAGCGUUGUCCGGAUUUAUUGGGUUUAAAGGGUGCGUAGGCGGAGGUUUAAGUCUGGGGUGAAAGACGGUCACUCAACGAUCGCAGUGCCUUGGAUACUGGACUUCUUGAGCACAGAUGAGGCUGAUGGAAUGGGGUGUAGCGGUGAAAUGCAUAGAUACCAUCCAGAACACCGAUUGCGAAGGCAGUCAGCUAAACUGGUACUGACGCUGAGGCGCGAAAGCGUGGGGAUCAAACAGGAUUAGAUACCCUAGUAGUCC
rnacentral:rRNA from 1 species